GAUCGCGUGGCGCAGUUGGUAGCGCGUUUCCUUGACAUGGAAAAGGUCACAGGUUCAAGUCCUGUCGCGAUCACCA
rnacentral:tRNA from 1 species